UCGUUAGACCUGUGACCCGUUAGAGCCGCAGCCGAUAAACCCAACCCGUUACGCCCAUUUUGCCAUGUCUGUACUUUUCAGCAUUUAGUCUCUGACUUCAACAGCCGUUCUCCCCUUUCCCUCUCCAGUCAUUAUCUUCCUCCCCUUUCGAUCAUCCAUGGCCGACCGCACCGACUCCGAUUCCCGCCUCCACAACCACCACCACCUCUCCGUCACGCCGCCACCCCAGCAGAUCUCCAAAGAAAAAUUCAUUCCUUUCGGCGGAAAGUAUUUGUGGAGGCUGAUGCAAUGGCAAGGAAGUACAGGGAAAAGCUACCUUCUGGUUUGCCUCUCAUAAAUCAGAACUCCCUCCAACCAAUGCUUUACCCUUUGAGAAUGAGGUAAGAAUGAAUGCAAAUUGGAAGUGGUUCAAAUUUGAAAGAGAAUAUGAACAAGCGUGACCCUUAAGGUUGCCCUGUGACACCAUCAAAUUAGAAAAAAGGGAGGGCUCAGAUCUUGCUAUCCUCCCCUAACCCACAUACACCCCAUAAUGAAAAAAAAGUAAAUAUCUCUCAAAUCUCAACAAGGCCAUUAUACUCUUGAAUUCACAAAAAUCAAGUUAUUUAGCUUGUAUUGCACUUAGAUCACAAGCCAUUGAAAAUCUAUGGAGACAUGAGCAUAUGUUCUUGCUGUUGACAUAGUUUUCCACUUUAUUAUUCCA